CCAUUUCUCUCUAACGUGUUUAAUACACAGUGGUGUUCGAGUAAACGGCUUCCUUCUGAUCAGCCACGUUGGCUGUGAAGUAAUGUGAAACGUGCUUUGGAAAGAGUUUGUUACAUGGAAAGUAAAUCGAAGACGAAAGAGGCAUCGUAGCUGCGACACUUGCAAUGGACACGGAAAUGCCAGCUGAGGCGAGGGUGUAUGAAGACAAGGAACCGCCUCGCGAGCAGAAGGUUCAACCUUACAGAUGGAAAUGGACUCCAGGAAGGAUCUACCACUGGGUACUUUCAUUCACACUCGCCGCAUAUAUCAUGUGGCGGUACGCGAGCAAUGAAUACAGUACAUUUCUCGUGAAACAAAUGCCGCAUGCCUUCAGGAAGAGCCCUUAC